CUACGGGACGCUGCAGUGAGGAAUAUUGCACAAUGGGGGGAACCCUGAUGCAGCAACGCCGCGUGGAGGAUGACGCAUUUCGGUGUGUAAACUCCUUUUAUAUGUCAAGAAAAUGACGGUAGCAUAUGAAUAAGCACCGGCUAACUCCGUGCCAGCAGCCGCGGUAAUACGGAGGGUGCAAGCGUUACUCGGAAUCACUGGGCGUAAAGGACGCGUAGGCGGGGUGGAAAGUCAGGUGUGAAAUCCUACAGCUUAACUGUAGAACUGCACUUGAAAUUUCUAAUCUAGAGUAUGGGAGGGGGAGAUGGAAUUAGUGGUGUAGGGGUAAAAUCCGUAGAUAUCACUAGGAAUACCUAAAGCGAAGGCGAUCUCCUGGAACAUUACUGACGCUAAGGCGUGAAAGCGUGGGGAGCAAACAGGAUUAGAUACCCCUGUAGUC
rnacentral:rRNA from 1 species